AUUGAACGCUGGCGGCAGGCCUAACACAUGCAAGUCGAACGAGUGGCGGACGGGUGAGUAAUGUCUGGGAAACUGCCUGAUGGAGGGGGAUAACUACUGGAAACGGUAGCUAAUACCGCAUACCAUCGGAUGUGCCCAGAGGGGAUUAGCUAGUAGGUGGGGUAAGGGCUCACCUAGGCGACGAUCCCUAGCUGGUCUGAGAGGAUGACCAGCAACACGGAAACUGAGACACGGUCAGGACUCUUACGGGAGGCAGCAGUGGGGAUUAUUGCAAAAUGGGCGCAAGCCUAAUGCAGCCAUGCCGCGUGUAGAAGGAAGGCCUUCGGGUUGUAAAGUACUUUCAGCGGGGAGACGUGACCCGAAGAAUAAGCACCGGCUAACUCCGUGCCAGCAGCCGCGGUAAUUA
rnacentral:rRNA from 1 species